AGUGCUCACACCAGAGGGGAAAGUGGCUGAAAGUGCAUGGAAACAGGGUUCCUGGGGAGAGUGGGCUGUUUGGAGGGAUCUACACAGAGGCCACAAAGCAACACCAACGUGGAGACAUCUGAGUGAGUGGCUACAAGAAAUCGAAAAAGAAGGGGCAGAAACGGUCUACACCACAGCCAUCUCCAACUCAUUCUUGGGACGCUCAACUCACCUGCUCGCCCAGAGGAAGCUGGUUUGAAGAAUGAAAAAUAAACAGUGGGCAGGGGAAGGCUGCGUCCGUCUGGAGGGGGACAGGCCUGGAGGCUGGCACACA